GCCUGGGUAGCUCAGUCGGUUAAGCAUCUGACUUCGACUCAGGUCAUGAUCUCACAGUUCGUGGGUUCGAGCCCUGUGUCAGGCU
rnacentral:tRNA from 1 species